rnacentral:piRNA from 1 species
UGAAAAAGAGGAACGCCCCCACGCCCCC